ensembl:snRNA U7 U7 small nuclear RNA
AUGUGUUACAGCUCUUUUAAAAUUUGUCUGGCAGACUUUCCAGCUAAACCCCCAUGGAAAAACAAA